rnacentral:tRNA from 1 species
GCCGGGAUGGCGGAACUGGCAGACGCAGAGGACUUAAAAUCCUCUGGGCUUUAUGCCCGUGCGGGUUCAAGUCCCGCUCCCGGCA